AGGACGAACGCUGGCGGCGUGCUUAACACAUGCAAGUCGAGCGGUAAGGCCUUUCGGGGUACACGAGCGGCGAACGGGUGAGUAACACGUGGGUGAUCUGCCCUGCACUUCGGGAUAAGCCUGGGAAACUGGGUCUAAUACCGGAUAUGACCUCCUAUCGCAUGGUGGGUGGUGGAAAGAUUUAUCGGUGCAGGAUGGGCCCGCGGCCUAUCAGCUUGUUGGUGGGGUAAUGGCCUACCAAGGCGACGACGGGUAGCCGACCUGAGAGGGUGACCGGCCACACUGGGACUGAGACACGGCCCAGACUCCUACGGGAGGCAGCAGUGGGAAUAUUGCACAAUGGGCGAAAGCCUGAUGCAGCGACGCCGCGUGAGGAUGACGGCCUUCGGGUGUAAACCUCUUCAGCAGGACGAAGCGCAAGUGACGGUACCUGCAGAAGAAGCACCGGCUAACUACGUGCCAGCAGCCGC
rnacentral:rRNA from 1 species